rnacentral:lncRNA from 1 species
ACUAUAGUACACCCUAGGAACCAUUGCUUCAUUUCCAAAACGACUCAAUGACCCAAUUUUGGCAACUAUACCGUUCCCAAUCCACCCAACCCCAACGACCUAACUACGAUGACAUGGGCACCAAACUCCAUUACGAAAGCGCCAUUGCCCAGAGCCCCUCCGGAUAUUGGGAACAAAUGAUGCCACAUUUGUCAAAUACCACUGGAACUU